rnacentral:rRNA from 2 species
GUAGGGAAUAUUCCACAAUGAGCGAAAGCUUGAUGGAGCGACACAGCGUGCACGAUGAAGGUCUUCGGAUUGUAAAGUGCUGUUAUAGGGAAAGAACACCUGGUUGAGGAAAUGCUUCCAGGCUGACGGUACCCUGUCAGAAAGCGAUGGCUAACUAUGUGCCAGCAGCCGCGGUAAUACAUAGGUCGCAAGCGUUAUCCGGAAUUAUUGGGCGUAAAGCGUUCGUAGGCUGUUUAUUAAGUCUGGAGUCAAAUCCCAGGGCUCAACCCUGGCUCGCUUUGGAUACUGGUAAACUAGAGUUAGAUAGAGGUAAGCGGAAUUCCAUGUGAAGCGGUGAAAUGCGUAGAUAUAUGGAAGAACACCAAAGGCGAAGGCAGCUUACUGGGUCUAUACUGACGCUGAGGGACGAAAGCGUGGGGAGCAAACAGGAUUAGAUACCCUGGUAGUCCACGCCGUAAACGAUGAUCAUUAGUCGGUGGAGAGUUCACUGACGCAGCUAACGCAUUAAAUGAUCCGCCUGAGUAGUAUGCUCGCAAGAGUGAAACUUAAAGGAAUUGACGGGGACCCGCACAAGCGGUGGAGCAUGUGGUUUAAUUUGAAGAUACGCGGAGAACCUUACCCACUCUUGACAUCCUUCGCAAUGCUAUAGAGAUAUAGCGGAGGUUAACGGAGUGACAGAUGGUGCAUGGUUGUCGUCAGCUCGUGUCGUGAGAUGUUUGGUCAAGUCCUGCAACGAGCGCAACCCCUAUCUUUAGUUACUAACGAGUCAUGUCGAGGACUCUAGAGAUACUGCCUGGGUAACUGGGAGGAAGGUGGGGAUGACGUCAAAUCAUCAUGCCUCUUACGAGUGGGGCAACACACGUGCUACAAUGGUCGGUACAAAGAGAAGCAAUAUGGCGACAUGGAGCAAAUCUCAAAAAGCCGAUCUCAGUGCGGAUUGGAGUCUGGAAUUCGACUCCAUGA